GAUGAACGUUGGCGGCGUGCCAUAAUACAUGCAAGUCGAGCGAACCACUUCGGUGGUGAGCGGCGAACGGGUGAGUAACACGUAGGUUAUCUGCCCAUCAGACGGGGACAACGAUUGGAAACGAUCGCUAAUACCGGAUAGGACGAAAGUUUAAAGGUGCUUCUGGCACCGCUGAUGGAUGAGCCUGCGGCGCAUUAGCUAGUUGGUAGGGUAAAGGCCUACCAAGGCGACGAUGCGUAGCCGACCUGAGAGGGUGAACGGCCACACUGGGACUGAGACACGGCCCAGACUCCUACGGGAGGCAGCAGUAGGGAAUCUUCGGCAAUGGGCGAAAGCCUGACCGAGCAACGCCGCGUGAAUGAUGAAGGGCUUCGGGUUGUAAAAUUCUGUUAUAAGGGAAGAACGACUUUAGUAGGAAAUGGCUAAGUGUGACGGUACUUAUGAGAAAGCACGGUAACUACGUGGCAGCAGCGCGGUAAUA
rnacentral:rRNA from 1 species